rnacentral:rRNA from 1 species
UACGUAGGGUGCGAGCGUUGUCCGGAAUUAUUGGGCGUAAAGAGCUCGUAGGCGGUGUGUCGCGUCGGCCGUGAAAACCUGCAGCUUAACUGUGGGCUUGCGGUCGAUACGGGCAUCACUGGAGUUCGGCAGGGGAGACUGGAAUUCCUGGUGUAGCGGUGAAAUGCGUAGAUAUCUGGAGGAACGACCGGUGGCGAAGGCGGCA